ACCUGGGUGGCUCAGUCGGUUAAGUGUCCGACUUCAGCUCAGGUCGUGAUCUCACCACUUGUGGGUUCGAGCCCCACAUCAGGUU
rfam:Felis catus isolate Cinnamon breed Abyssinian chromosome X, whole genome shotgun sequence.